GCGGGCGUGAGGUAGCCCGGGAGCCUGCGGGCCUGUGGAGCCCGCUGCGCGGGUUCGAAUCCCGCCGCCCGCC
rnacentral:tRNA from 1 species